UACAAAAUGGGGCAUGGUGGCAUUGC
rnacentral:piRNA from 1 species